rnacentral:rRNA from 1 species
UUGAAACCAGGACGCCAGUUUUGGCGGAGCCAUCCUUGGGAUACCACCCUUGUAGUACUGGGACUCUAACCAUAGGCCAUGAAUCUGGUCUUGGGACACUGUCAGGUGGGCAGUUUGACUGGGGCGGGCGCCUCCCAAAAGGUAACGGAGGCGCUCAAAGGUUCUCUCAGUACGGUCGGAAAUCGUACGUAGAGUGUAAAGGCAAAAGAGAGCUUGAUUGCAAGACAUACAGG